GUGGGUGUAGCUCAGUGGUAGAGCCUAUGCUCAGCAUGCCCAGCAUCCUGGGUUCAAGCCCCAGCACCUCCA
rnacentral:tRNA from 1 species